GGAGCAUUUCAGUUGAGCCUACUCGUAUUCUGCCCUGGUUCGUGUUUGCUGCGGUGACACGGUGCCGCACUGAGUGAAGAUUGCGUUCAUAAUCACUUAUCGGGGGUGGAGUGGGGAAAGGAGAGUCAGGAAGUGAGGAUAUUUAUAUUAUUUGACAUAUUAUUUGAUAGCAUGUCAACUUUUGUGUGUGUGUGUGUGUGUGUGUGUGCGUGUGGGGGUGGGUGGGUGUUGGAUCAGUGACAGGUGGCGCUGGGGAGUUACCACGGCGAGCGGCUGGCUGGCUGCAGUGUUUUGGUCAGCACUGGUCAGUCUUGCCCUACACGCUCUAUUAACCAGUGUUUCCGUCUUCCCGACACCUUCUUCCUGCACCAAGCACCGUCAAGCAUCACCAGAGAGGCACGAGUACGUAAGCUAUCCAACAUCAGAACAGUAUAUGAAUAUGGCAAAUGCUGUUUUGACAUCAUUUCCUGCCAUCCUGAGAAACAGUGAUCUCGAGGAGCAUGAAUUGCAGCUGCAAUGGAAAUUGCUCAUCCAGCGCAAGUUUCAGAAUUCAAGAAAGAGGCAGGAUUCCUCAGUGACUGAGGUGACGUCAAGGAAAAAGAAGAUCCCUUGCAUAGCGCCAAAAGAGACUACGUGUCCACUGAUGUAUGGAGUAAAGGCUUACCUUCCACCAAGGCCCCAUUCAGAAGAUGAUGAGUCAUUAGAGAGACAUAGACAGUGGCUUGCUCUACAUUGGAUGAAGAAAGAUCCCGAGUUAGAUAAGAUAAUCAAGGAGUUCCUGAGAUUAGAACCACAAGCGGAUGAACCAGACCCAAUAGUAGCAGUUUUGAAAGGGCUGGAGAAAUAUAGGCUCCCAAUAAUUGCCAUUCUCAAAAAAAGAAAAGCAGUUCCUCUGUAUAUGGAAACCUUAUUUGAACUCUAUGACCACGAUGAAAGUCAAUGCGAGUAAUGUCUAUUUCAAUUUGUUCAUUUCAGUAGCUGGUAGCAAUUUAAUAUAUGUAUCUUUUCAUCAUUAGCAAUGCAUCUUUCACUUUUAUAA